rnacentral:rRNA from 1 species
GACGAACGCUGGCGGCGUGCUUAACACAUGCGAGUCGAACGGAAAGGCCCCUUUGGGGGUACUCGAGUGGCGAACGGGUGAGUAACACGUGAGUAACCUGCCCUUGACUUCGGGAUAACUUCAGGAAACUGGGGCUAAUACCGGAUAGGAAUCCUUGCUGCAUGGUGGGGGUUGGAAAGCUUCGGCGGUUUUGGAUGGACUCGCGGCUUAUCAGCUUGUUGGUGGGGUAGUGGCUUACCAAGGCUUUGACGGGUAGCCGGCCUGAGAGGGCGACCGGCCACAUUGGGACUGAGAUACGGCCCAGACGCCUACGGGAGGCAGCAGUGGGGAAUAUUGCACAAUGGGCGGAAGCCUGAUGCAGCAACGCCGCGUGCGGGAUGACGGCCUUCGGGUUGUAAACCGCUUUCAGCAGGGGCGAAGCUUGUGGUGACGGUACCUGCAGAAGAAGCACCGGCUAACUACGUG